rnacentral:rRNA from 1 species
UACGUAGGGGGCAAGCGUUGUCCGGAAUCGUUGGGCGUAAAGAGCGUGUAGGCGGCCCGAUAAGUCCGCUGUGAAAGUCCAGGGCUCAACCCUGGGAUGCCGGUGGAUACUGUCGGGCUCGAGUCCGGAAGAGGAGUGUGGAAUUCCUGGUGUAGCGGUGAAAUGCGUAGAUAUUGGGAAGAACACCGGUGGCGAAAGCGCCUUGCUGGACCUGCACUGACACUGAGGGACGAAAGCUAGGGGAGCGAAAGGG